rnacentral:rRNA from 1 species
AUAUUGGACAAUGGGCGAAAGCCUGAUCCAGCAAUGCCGCGUGAGUGAUGAAGGCCUUAGGGUUGUAAAGCUCUUUUACCAGGGAUGAUAAUGACAGUACCUGGAGAAUAAGCUCCGGCUAACUCCGUGCCAGCAGCCGCGGUAAUACGGAGGGCGCUAGCGUUGUUCGGAAUUACUGGGCGUAAAGCGUACGCAGGUGGCGGGACAAGUCGGAUGUGAAAGCCCGGGGCUCAACCCCGGAUGUGCAUCCGAUACUGUUCUGCUGGAGUCCGGAAGAGGAGAGCGGAAUUCCCAGUGUAGAGGUGAAAUUCGUAGAUAUUGGGAAGAACACCGGUGGCGAAGGCGGCUCUCUGGUCCGGUACUGACACUCAAGUACGAAAGCGUGGGGAGCAA